UACGUAGGGUGCGAGCGUUGUCCGGAAUUAUUGGGCGUAAAGAGCUUGUAGGCGGUUUGUCGCGUCUGCCGUGAAAAUCCGGGGCUCAACCCCGGACUUGCAGCCGAUACGGGCGGGCUGGAGUUCGGUAGGGGAGACUGGAAUUCCUGGUGUAGCGGUGAAAUGCGCAGAUAUCAGGAGGAACACCGGUGGCGAAGGCGCCACUCUGGGCCGAAACUGACGCUGAGGAGCGAAAGCGUGGGUAGCAAACAGG
rnacentral:rRNA from 1 species